rnacentral:misc_RNA from 1 species
GCUCCGUAGGUGAACCUGCGGAGGGAUCAUUACAGAGUUCAUGCCCUACCGGGUAGAUCUCCCACCCUAUGUUAUUAUUACUUUGUUGCUUUGGCGGGCCGUUAGGCUCCGGCCCGACUACCGGCCCCGCCUGGUAAGCGCCCGCCAGAGGACCCAAAACCCUGAAUAUUAGUGUCGUCUGAGUACUAUAUAAUAGUUAAAACUUUCAACAACGGAUCUCUUGGUUCUG